GGGGCAGUAGCUCAGCAGGGAGAGCGCCAGAAUCGCACUCUGGAGGUCGCCGGUUCAAUUCCGGUCUGCUCCA
rnacentral:tRNA from 1 species